rnacentral:rRNA from 1 species
GGUUACUGCUAUCGGUGUUCGCCUAAGCCAUGCGAGUCAUAUGUUCUUCGGAACAUGGCGUACUGCUCAGUAACACGUGGAUAACCUGCCCUUGGGUCCGGCAUAACACCGGGAAACUGGGGAUAAUUCCGGAUAACGCACAUAUGCUGGAAUGCUUUAUGCGUCAAAUGGAUUCGUCCGCCCAAGGAUGGGUCUGCGGCCUAUCAGGUAGUAGUAGGUGUAAUGUACCUACUAGCCUACGACGGGUACGGGUUGUGAGAGCAAGAGCCCGGAGAUGGAUUCUGAGACAUGAAUCCAGGCCCUACGGGGCGCAGCAGGCGCGAAAACUUUACAAUGCGGGAAACCGUGAUAAGGGGACACCGAGUGCCAGCAUCAUAUGCUGGCUGUCCGGGUGUGUAAAAUACACCUGUUAGCAAGGGCCGGGCAAGACCGGUGCCAGCCGCCGCGGUAACACCGGCGGCCCGAGUGGUGAUCGUGAUUAUUGGGUCUAAAGGGUCCGUAGCCGGUUUGGUCAGUCCUCCGGGAAAUCUGACGGCUUAACCGUUAGGCUUUCGGGGGAUGCUGCCAGACUUGGAACCGGGAGAGGUAAGAGGUACUACAGGGGUAGGAGUGAAAUCUUGUAAUCCCUGUGGGACCACCUGUGGCGAAGGCGUCUUACCAGAACGGGUUCGACGGUGAGGGACGAAAGCUGGGGGCACGAACCGGAUUAGAUACCCGGGUAGUCCCAGCCGUAAACGAUGCUCGCUAGGUGUCAGGCAUGGCGCGACCGUGUCUGGUGCCGCAGGGAAGCCGUGAAGCGAGCCACCUGGGAAGUACGGCCGCAAGGCUGAAACUUAA